AAGCUCAGAUAAGGAGCCCUCAAAGCCCUGGGACUUCCUUUAGAUAGGCCCUUACUGGGUUUCCACCAAGAAAGCAAGGAGGCCUGCUUUUGCCCUGCCUAUCCCCCAGGUUCUAAGACAGAACUGAGGGAAUGAGGUUGGCUAUGGUGAACACGGUGUCACCUGGGAAGGCCUUCUCUCCAAAGUUCAGUACCUGGGGUCAAGCCUGCCCAUAAGGCACUAACUGAUAAGCCCAGGAAGGAGCCUAUGAUUUAUAUAGCUACAGGUAAUAGCUACCGCUGUCUGACGUCCUGAUCCAUAGGAGGUUACGGUGCAAUCUUUGGAGCCUGUGUGAGCCCUGCGAUAGCUGAGUUAGAGGUCGGCUUCUGCUGGAAACUAAGUGAGACAUUAAGAGAUGACUCCAACAGAGGCGCGGUGGAAUUCAGAGUCCCCCUGAUCUGAGUCUUGGAGGCCUCAUCCUGCUCCAUGUACAGUAAUAGAAAUUCCAUGUAUAUCCCCCCACCCACCCAACACACACACAUGUAAGGACAUGCACCCUUGCACACACACUUCCCUACAUGCCAGCUCCCAUUGCUUUCCUAACCCCGCACAGGGAGCAUGCCCCAUGUGAGAACCCCUGCUUAUCUGCUGCUUCCUGGCUUCCUCUGCCUGAAUUCUUGAGGCCCUGAAGGCAGGGGAGCCAGUCUGUGCAUACUGUUUCCUGAUCUCAGAUAAUUAGAGGAAAUGAGCUCACUGGUACAGAGGAGAUUGCGGAUUUCAGUCCGGACCUUCAGGCUUCACUCCUCGGCCUGCAGUAUACGUCUCUCCCUAACCCUCCAGGAAGCUGUGCCCCUGAAGCCCAUAGGCCCCACAGACCCCACCUGAGAUGUCUUCUUUUGCUUGCUGGAACCUGUCUCUAACCCUUCUUGUCCUGUUCUGCAGCCCAGGGUCUGGUGAAAAGGCCUUUGAAGUCUACAUACGGUCCGAGAAGCAGAUAGUAAAAGCCACAGAGGCUUGGAGAGUCAACUGCAGCACCAGCUGUGCAGCCCCAGAGAUCGGUGGUCUGGAGACCCCUACGAAUAAGUUAAUGUUGGAAGAGGACCCUCAUGGGAAAUGGAUAGAAUUCCUAGUCUCAAACGCCACUGUCGACACGGUCUUACUUUGCCAUUUCACUUGUUCGGGAAAGCAGCAGGCAGAGAGUUUCAACAUCAGGGUGUAUGAGCCUCCAGCUCAGAGAGACCCUGAAGAACCAGACAUUUGGGGGAGCUGAAACUGUCCCAGAAGAGGUCAUAGCCAUAUUCAACAGCACAGCUCUGAAAAAGGAUGGUCUUAACUUUUCCUGCCAGGCUGAGCUGGAUCUA
rnacentral:lncRNA from 1 species